rnacentral:lncRNA from 1 species
UUGACAAAAAUAGCUAAAGAUCUACAACAUCUCAAAUAUUCUUAACUUAUACUCAUGUGAAUCUAAUUCCCAGUAUGUGCACUAGAUUCACACUUUCAUCUUAAGCAUGGACAUACAUAGCAAACACAAAUAAAGAUGAAAGCGAUUAAAAUUACAACUAACUUAGAGAUACAUAGGCCGACCGGCCAAAUAAAUAUAUAGAACAGCGGAAGCUUGUCUACCCAAUCCACAAGCACACCGACUAGGAGUUUACCCCAUUAUGUUCAAAUCCUAGGCGAAGCAGUCGAUUACGCGCAUCACUCACAGACUAAAUCUAAAACCUGCAAGCAAAAGGUUAAUUCAACGGCAAGAAUCAGUACAUUAUUAGAAAUAAUGUACUGGCAAGCACCAAGACAAGCCUAACACCCUACUUGCAAGGCAUAUAAUCAAGGAAGGCAUGAUAUGGUUCUUUUUAGCACAAAGCAAGUUUUAUUUGCAUAAACCACAUUCAAAUCAAAUUUUCUUUCAAAUAAAUUUCAGCAAGCUAGUACUUAGCAUAUGGGCAUCAAAGUAGGCAUUAAUAAUGUAUAAAUGUGCACCUCAUUGCCAUCCAUGGCAGCAAGGAGAUCAUUCUCAAAUCUCAACAUAAUUUGAAGGUAAAUUCAACAUUUAGAAGAAUAAACACAAGUCUAUACUCAAUACAUAUCCACAUGCUGCUUAUGACCGUGAGCACGGCUAAUCGAUUAGUUCUUACUCUGCAGAGUUUGUACACUUUACCCACAUGAUGCGAAAUAAUAAUCAUGCAAGAGCGUGUCACGCGAAACAUAAGUACCCGAUUUAUUACCCACAACAAAGCUUUUUCAAAAUUCAUGAUUUAGCCUUACACCAGCACGAUACGUGUUACUCCAUCCUAAGCCUACACGUUAUAUGACCUAGAACCGUUAAGUGGCGGGCCCACACCUUAAACUUAACGCCGUGGUGGCGGACACAACGGGAACCCACCCACACUGGCCUACCAGAAUGUAAGGCUAAACCAUAAAUGAUUUACUAAGCUUGGGCUAUCCCAUACUAGCACAUGUGGUUGUACUGUAUACGAAAUGGACUGACAUUGAGUGAAGUCUUUAAGUCGGUUUGGGUGCACUCUCCCCCUAUCGGUACACAACUAAUCACCAUAUGUGCACCACUUGAGCCCAAACCUAAAAUCCACGUUUUCCAUCAUUUUAUUUAUCAAAAUCACAAGUAUUAAAGUUCUGUCCAGAUUAUUUCAAAAUCAAUUGACAUGUUUGUAAUGAGCCCAUAAUGACAAGGAAGACCAUUGUAAGCAUGGCUAAGCAUUAUAGCAAUCUAGUGGCAUCUAAACUCAUAUACAAAGUGGCAUAGUCAUAUUGUUCCUAUGGUUAGGAAUGAUGGAUAUGGAUAUAUGUGGGGUUAGGGUGAUAAUGCAAAUAAUAGGAGUUUUUCUAACAAGUUUAAGAAAAUUUUAAUUUAUUAGUGUACAAUCGACAUGCAAGAUUUGCAAACAUUUGCAAUAACCUCCAAAAUAAAGGUUCAAAAUGAUCAAAGAGAGGAAGGUGGGACUUGCCUUGCAACUGGAAAAUGUCAGCACCUAAUUCACUUCUUCACCGUUUAAGCAAUCAUCUAUACAAAGUACACCUAAUGCAAUUAAACACCGAAAUAUGUGAAAAAUACAAAAUGCUCUAAAAUGCAUGAUUUGUGCACAGUGAAUAGGUACUGGUCUAAAAUGAAUUUAGGUGAAAGAAUUUCUAUUUUAUCUCAUUUUAUUUGAGAGUUAUGAAUUUUAGAAGUUUCGUCGGUAUAGUGUAGGAUUUACUUAGGUACUAUUAUGAAAUGCUGUUGUAAGGUGAUUCUUAUUAAGUUUAUUAAGGUGAAGAUAUGUGUUUUCUAAGACUAACACAUUUGGUUUCACAAUUUUUAGAGUUAAUAUGAAUUCUUUAUGUAUUUUACAAGUUAUAACGUGUUAUAGGUGUAUAGUGUUACAUAGGGUCAUGGCUUUAGAGGUUUAGGUCCAGAACUUGCCUCAUCUAGCUAGUGAUGUACAAAAUGAGUAUUUUAGUUAACUAGUCUAACCUUAGUUCAUAAGCUUAUGGUCUUUAUUAUCAUAGUUCAUAUUCUUAUAAACUAGGGGAGCUCUAGUCUAUGCUAGCAAUAUAUUAUAUCAAUCUAGAAAUUAUUAUAUGAGCUAAGUUCUUCUAAGUUUUUGUGGAUGGGGAUGGAACUAUGGAUCCACUGGUCCUAACAAGUUUUAUUUGGAAUUAUUUGGAGCUACCAUGCAUAUAUAUACUUAUUUAUAUGUAUUGUUUAACCACUAUUAUGUGUUUAGUACCUAUACUACCAAAUUAAGGUUUAGAGCUAUGGUAUGAACAGAGGGUGCCAUAUUUCACUCUACUAGGUUGAAUUACAUUACUUGCUGGUCCUAUAGAAAUUUGGUUCACUUCAUUUAGACUAAAGAUGAAUUUUCUACAAAUUUUACAAAUUAAAUGUUGCUCUAUGUUGGUUAUUAAUUACAUAAAUAUUUAGAGGCUUUUAUUACACAGUAAGUAUAUGAUUUUAUUUUACAAAUUGGAAGUAUAUGUUUUGGUGAAUCUACAGAACUUGGGUUUACUCAAAAAGGAUCUAAGAUGAAUUUUAUAUGAACUUCUAAAGUUCAGCUUAUCUAAAACUAUUCAUUUUAAAGAUAAUAGUUUUAGAGGCAUCAGGUACAAAGUAAGUAUAUUAUUUUAUUUCACUUUACAGUGGACAACAAAUUUAUGAUUCCUUGAAAUGUGAAUUUACCCUAAAAUGAGUUGAGAUGAAUUUUGUAUGCAUUUUAUAAGUUUGUGCAUGCUUUAUGUAUAUUUUUUUCUUAAAUAAAUUUUAGAGGUGUAAUUUGUACUGCAAGUGUAAGUUUUUAUUUCAUAACAUUAAAGUUCAUCCUUAUAUGAGUUUACAUAAUCAUCUCAAAAUGAGUUAUAUUUGAUUUUCUAUGGAUUUUUUACAAGUUUUAGGUACUUUUCUUACAUAAUCUCAGAUUUUGUUACUAGGGGUCCGCUGUCAGUCAUACGGCCAAUAUGCAGGAAGGCCCUUGAGAUUUCUAGAAACCAACCCGCAGUCCUAGGCCCAUAUGUCAGUGUUUAGUAUGUUUUCAUAUUAACCCUUAUAUUUGUUUAAAUUCUCAAAGCGAAGUCCCUGCGACCUGGACAGAACAGAGCGCCAUGGCUGAGCUCGAUCUCGAGCUCGCCGGCGACAAACGAUGGCUCGUUUGGGGGUGCGACCAAAAUACAAAAUGAAGAUCAUGUUAUUUCGAUUCCAUUCCUAUACAUUUAUCAGAUAGCGGACAUUGGAGUAGCGCCAGCGGCGAGUCCGAGCAGAGGAUGUUUUCGGGUGGUGGUGCAUGUCAUGCUAUAGUCUGGAUGUACCCAAAGGGAUGCAUGCAUGUAUGUUCUAUAGGCUGCAGGGUGCUCACCAAAGCUCGGACGCGGUACGGGUAGGCCUGGACAGCGACGACGAUGCAGAGGAUGUCCCGACGGCGGCGGAAAUCGGCAUGCCAACGGUGACAACCACCAUCCGGACUCCGGGCUGCCAAGAAAAAGAGUGGAACGGCUCAAAGACCAUCUAAAGAUGCUACACGAGUCAGGAAUUGCGCUGAAGCUCACCCGGGAUCAAGGAAUCGAAGAUCGAUGUCGGCGGCCGGAGAUGGAGAAGAUGACGCCGAUAUCCCUCCUCGAUUCACCGAUCCAUGAGGUUCUUGGAGAAUCUUGAAGAGGACGUCUAGGCGAUUCUGGUGGCGCAAGGGUUCGGCUUGGGGUGGUUCGGUUUGGUUAGAACGACGACGAGAACCCGACAGCGGUCGUCGUUGUGCGCUCCAGGGCGUUUGUGGGCACGGUGGCGUUCCCGCUCAACCGCUGCAUAGAAUGGGACGAAAUUAGAUGAAAUAGAGAUGGCAUCGAGAGUAGGUUUUGGAAUGCAAAAGAAGAGGAAAUGACCGUGGCUCAUCAACGAAUGUGGCCAUCAUCUUCUUCGCGACCGGCGAUAGAGAAACGGUGGAGAAGGGCAGCAAGGAUGCUCUCCCUCGGUUGGAUCGGCACUGGAAUGGUGGGUGAGGAGUGACGACGCG